UUUAAUCGUGCAAAGAAUGUUUUUCUGUGGGUGUGGAAAAGCGAACAAAACUGAAGAGUACUGUCCUGAGUGGGGUUCUUCUUUUGGUUGUGUUGGUUCAGUAAUUUGUGGCCCAGGCACUUUAGUGGCAACUGUUUCCCUUCAUGGUGGCUGAUUCGUUACAUAGUUCUAUUCCCCUCCCCAACCACAUUCUGCUGGGAAAAUAGAAUGUACAAAACUCGAUCGAGGUCUGACAGGUCUUUAAAGGGCACGUUUAGCCGAUUUUACAUUUGAAUGCAAUGAGAUUUUAUUUUAUGGGGUAUAAUUCAGUUUUGUUGAAGCAUUUAGCAUUGUAAAAAGGAACAGAGGGACUAUAAACAACAAACUAAAUAUAACUCAGAGAGCAAAGCAGAAAAUCUUGGGUGCAGGUUAUUAGGAUCCAGGGGGUUCCUUGCACAGCUCUUUUCUUGCCCUCCUCCCAAUUGUAUUUAUAUGUUGGAGCAGCAAUAUUUCUUAUAUCCACUCACUCCAUGGAUAGCAGCUUGCGCUUCUGUGCACACAUUGCAUGCAAUAUGGCAGCUCCCUCUCAGUCAUACAAAUACAAUAUAUACAUUAUACACCUCAUAUUAUAUAAAACAACUUUUUCUUGAAUGGGGUUAAUCGCUGUUGCUGGAUUCAUAUUUAUUCACCUGUAACGUGCUGUGGCUGUUACACAUUCUGGGGUACACACAAUGAUGGUAUAAUGUCCCACUAGAAACCAAUAUUAUUAUUAUUAUUAUUAUUUUAGAGUCUAUAUACUGUUGUAUCUGCACCAAUACAGUACAUUGGGAAUAAGGGCAAAAGUUCAACGUUUUCUUUACAAAAUGCACAUUUAUUUGGACGAUUGUAAUGCAGCAAUUAUAACACUGGGCUUGUGCAUUUGCACUGAUGUGUUAAACACACACACACACACUCACACUGAAACAAUUUCUACUACUAUUGCCACUACUCCACUCAGGACAGUUUGACCUGGAAACAGUACAAAGUGUCAUUGCAGUAAAUUCCCCCUGAAAUCACAAGCCCAGCAACAGUAGCCCAUGUACAACUGCAUUUUCUGCUUCUGUGUUGUCAUGUGUGUGUUUCACAAGACAAAGCUGCAGCAUCAGGCCCAGGGGCCUACAAUUUACAAGUACAUUUCACUGAUCCUUCUCGUGUAUUUUGAUUUCUGUUUGUUUAUGUGUGUUAAUUAAUGUUGGCUUGUCGGUGCCCCUGAAUGCACAUAGACAUGUUCUGCGCAUUAUUUGCUCUUGUCUUGUUGGCUAGAAAGCAUAAGUUGUGUUGUUGUUGUGUUAUUUCAGUUGCACACACUGCAGCCCCACAUACUGCUGUACUACAUGCACUAACUCACUGUUGCAAUUCAUGGGGAUUUGUGCUAGAACCAAUCACUGUAUCAAGCUGGGGUAGCUGGGGUAUGGGAAAUAUAUGUUUUGUUGGGAUUUGGGAGUGUUAUACAUGGCAUUUGCUGUGUUUUAACAAUACUUAAGUAAAUGUGUGAAUGUGAAAUGUCUAUAUCAGAAAUAAAGUCUCGGCGGGGCUGGAGAGUUUGGGGAAAUGUGAUCCACUCCAAUGGGAAGGAUCCCCUGCUGCAAGCAGAAAGACCCCGGCAACUCCCUGGCAACAGGCUGGAAAUGAAACCAUUUCUCCAGAAACGAAUUUGGCCGAGGAGCCGGAUUUUGUGGGCUGAGCUGGAAAAAGGAAAAUAAAGUCUGACUGUUGUUUUGUUUGCUGAGAAUAAGAGAACCUGGGGCAGAGGGGAAGGCGCUCCAGCAGCUGCGCUCAUCUCUGGGAAGAGAUUUGAUGUGAGUCUACCAGUCAGUCCUCUGCCUGUCUCUCCCGCAAACCAGGAGCAAACUCGCUGUCUCAAGUCUCCUUCUACUCCUGUAUAUACAGUACCUGCACUUGGGGAAGAACAAAUGUUUUGUAAAGCUCUGUCACCAUGAAGCCUUCCAUAUCUCACAGUGGAGAAACUAAUACUGCAGAUAAGAAUUACAACUAAUAAAGAAAAUAGUCUGGAUGGUAUAAAUCUAUAGUAUAUCCAUGUGUGCUAAGCAAGUAAUAAAUGGAUGGCCAUUUCCA